UGGAAAGCCCCCAGCACCGCAUGCGGCCUGUCAAAACAAUCAAACUAGAUAAAUCGCUUGUUGAGGCGUUAACGUAUGCUACUGAUGAAGCAUCACGUUCCCCCGUCAGAAGCUUGUCCAAAUUAGAUGUGCCAUGCCAAUGCGCUCUCAAUUUCAAUUUCAAUGAGUUUGGCGAACGCGUGAACUUGCAAAGAGCAGUAAUCCCCCCUCUAACCAUCUUGUAAAGCCGCCUUUGGGAACGCGUGAAUUCUCCU
ensembl:ncRNA F11D5.27 ncRNA